AUGGUUGUUUUGUGUAUGACUUGCAGUCAGGGAACAAAUGCAUUCUCUCAGUCUGGAUUAUAUUCAAACCAUCAAGAUAUAGCCCCUCGAUAUUUUGGGAUACUGCUCGGUCUAUCCAAUACCGCUGGAGUACUUGCUAGUGUGCUUGGAACAGCAGCAACAGGUUACAUUCUACAGCAUGGCUCGUGGGAUGAUGUUUUCAAGGUUACAUUUUAUGUAGUGUCCUCAACAGCAAAACGGACCAAGACCUUAAUACAUAAUUGA